rnacentral:rRNA from 1 species
CUCAUGGCCUUUAUGCCUAGAGCUUCACACGUGCUACAAUGGCGACUACAGAGCGACGCAAGACCGCGAGGUGGAGCAAAUCGCAAAAAAGUCGCCCCAGUUCAGAUUGCAGGCUGUCAAUUCGCCUGCAUGAAGUUGGAAUCGCUAGUAAUCGCGUAUCAGCUAUGACGCGGUGAAUGUGUUCCUGAGCCUUGUACACACCGCCCGUCAAGUGAUGGGAGCCGGAAGUACCCGAAGUCGGGUUGUCAACCGCAAGGAGACGCCUGCCGACGGUAAGUUCGGUGACUGGCACUAAGUCGUAACAAGGUAGCCGUAGGGGAACCUGCGGCUGGAUCACCUCCUUUCUAAAGGAA